UACAGAGGGGGCAAGCGUUGUUCGGAAUUACUGGGCGUAAAGGGUGCGCAGGCCGCGCGGGCAGUCAAAUGUGUAAUUCAGGGGCUCAACCCCUGCACUGCGCUUGAUACUUCCGCGCUCGAGCUUUGGAGAGGAGUCUGGAAUUCUCGGUGUAGCAGUGAAAUGCGUGGAUAUCGAGAAGAACACUUAGGGCGUAGGCAAGACUCUGGACAAAUGCUGACGCUCAUGCACGAAGGCUAGGGUAGCGAACGGG
rnacentral:rRNA from 1 species